GGACCAGAAUUCCUUUAGAACCUCCACUCAUAGAUACCUCCCCAAAUGCUCUAGAAGACUAAUUCACACUCCAGAAGAGGAUCCCACCCCCCAUACCAUCCAUUUUGAGGAGAACUGGUCAAGUGUUUUGUAGGAUGCCCCUCUAUUGGAAUUUGUCUGAUGUUUUCUUCAGGAUUUGAGUGGGGCUGUGAGUUUCUCAAAGACACAGCCAGAGGACCCUUUGAACUUCAAGAACCACACAAAUGUUACUGUUCCCUUCAAGACCUUCAAAAGCUCCCAAGCCUAUGCUUUUAGGAAGCCUUAAGUAUUCGCCUUGAAAAUUCUCAUCAGUGUUAUAAAUUAAAUGUGUGUGUUUCUGGCCAAGCUGCACUGCAAAUGGAGGUUUUUACAUCACACCUGAAAAACCUGUUAGCUGGGGAGGAAAUGAAUAUCUCAGUUGUUCAGUGUUUGGCCCUAGUUUUUUAAAAAGCCCAGAAGUAAAUUUUACUUGUAUGAGCAAAGGCUUGAUGAUAGCAAAGGCUCCUGAGUAGAUAGCAAUUAAGCAAAAGAACUUUUUCCAUGUAUUUAUUUCUUAAAAGAACUGGCCUGGCCAAAGCACUGCUCAGAUGACUCAUUGAUCUUUGCCUUUGGCUCAUGCCAGAGCCUUGCCUGCUGGGUUUUCUGAGUUUCUGGUGAAGCCUUCAGUGCGCCAUGCAGGAAGUGAGGUCAUGAUUGUUUUGGCAGUUUGGGUGGCGUUUUGUCCCCUGGUAGCAGCUGAAGUUUAUCAGUAGGUUUAGCCUUUGCACUUUGAGAAACCAACUAUUAUCUCACCCACAAUUUAGAAUAAUAAAAAAGUCCAUGGCAGCAAAACGUGCAGUAAGUAAAGAUAAAGAACAAAUGAGGGAGAAUCUGGUGUUCCUGUUGACAUCGGCCCCCAGAGCCUACAUUCUAUACUUGGUCUGAUAGAGUCAGCAGGAAAGCUCCUCCUGCAUUCUCUUUCUUUCUGGCAUUAACUUCAAAUGAAGAAAUCUUUUAGAGGGCAGCUGGGAGUAGAGAAAUAAUGUGAUAACUUUAGUGACUAAUUUAGAUUCAGUUGCUUCCUGAAGUGACCUGUCAUAGAGACAUUUAGGUUGAGGAAGACCAAUAAUCUUCAUUCUGGAAGCUUGUCUCCUCCUUGGGAGCUGUAAUCAAAGCAGCUAAAAGAUUGAAUAAGGCCUCUAUAGUAGUUGCUGCAAUGACCGGAAGACCCAGGGGACUGGAGGUCAGGGAUCCUGCCUGGAGGCUUCCCAAACCUGGAGGGACACUACCUGGAUUUCUGAUUUGGUUCUAAGCCUCAGAUUCUAUAAACCUACGCAUUGUAGCAGGAUUCUCUUUGUAACAUUUUGCCCUGAGGAAUGUCCAAGACUAAAAAGCACGUAACUAAAAAAUAAAAAAAGUCACAUUGCAAAUCUUACGUUAAAUAUCCAAAGCUAUGGAAAAAUAACAUUUACAGUGUCAUUCAAAUUGUCUAACAUAAUAAACAAUAAAUGUUCAAAAAAAUUGUCUAACAUU